GACGUAGGGCGCGAGCGUUGUCCGGAUUUAUUGGGCGUAAAGAGCUCGUAGGCGGUCUGUCGCGUCUGCUGUGAAAACCUAGGGCUUAACCCUGGGCCUGCAGUGGGUACGGGCAGACUAGAGUGCGGUAGGGGAGACUGGAAUUCCUGGUGUAGCGGUGAAAUGCGCAGAUAUCAGGAGGAACACCGGUGGCGAAGGCGGGUCUCUGGGCCGUAACUGACGCUGAGGAGCGAAAGCAUGGGGAGCGAACAGG
rnacentral:rRNA from 1 species